GACUCAGGAUGAUGGGAUCUGCAGUUCUCCCUCAUCCGGAGCCUCUCAACGCACCUGUCAAGGACAGAAGGAGAUGCGCCAUUGAGCGCUCAGCCCCCACGUUGCUGCUCCUCCGUUGUCGUCGGCACUUAUUAUUUACAUCCACCGGCAGCUGUGUCCUGGGGCUAUUUUUAGCCUUUUAUUGCUGAUUGUCACUUCAAUGAUAUGGGCAGUUAACUUGGCCAUUGUGAAGUUAACACAGCUCUCUGGAGGCUGGUGAUCCACCUGCCUCCAUGACAAGUAGCAAGGCAUGGAGACCAUUAGGUGCUCCAACAUACAUCACACCAGCCAGAUAUUAGAAGGUCGGGGCUCAGGGACAGGGCUCUGCUGAGAAAUUGCUGGAAAUCAUCAAGUCUGCCUGGUAAUUUGAAAGGGAAAUUAAACGGCCUGAUAGCAUCCA